rnacentral:misc_RNA from 1 species
GCACAGUGUAAGAGCAGACAAUUCAUGGAGAACUUCUUGAUGCCUAGUUCCCAUAUACUUGUGGUUUUAAAUGACUUCUUUUUGGUACAGGGAUGCAAACAUACACCAUAGAGUAUGAGAAAGCCCUUAUGAACUCAUGUUCACAUGUGUUUGAUUAAAUUAUUUUUUUUUUAAGAGAAUCCUGCUCAAUACGCAUACCAUAACAGUGCACCAUUUUUCAGUGAGUAACUAGGUCUCAUUCUUUUUCAGAGCCCCAGUCAUCAUGCACCAUUCUUGCAUCCUCACUAGAAUGUCAGCUGUGACUGGGUGGUCCUAUUUGAUGCUUCUAAUCACUAUUUCUGACUAAUUUAUUUGCUUGGUGUUGGACAUGUCGCUGUUUUGCUGUUUUGCUGUUGUUUUUUUUUUUGGGGUGGUGGAUGGCUUGGACAAUAGCACAGUAUAGUAUUUUGAGUACAUCUGUGGUGUCCUGGGCUGAGAGUUGUACCUAUUACUUAUAAAGGUGUGCUGUGUUGUUGCACAGGUCCCCAGGCUUAGUGCUGGUGCUUGCGAGCUAACACAACAGUGCAAUGGUGUGGUGGCUGGUUAACUUAUGUUCACAAGUUUGUUUUAUCCCAUUUAUUGUUAACCUCACUGCUUUUCAUGACAUUUUUAUUUCCUUGGUUUUGCAAAUGCUUUGCUUGGGCUGCAUACUUAGAGCAUGAUGGUCAUGAUGGUGGCUGAAUUCAGUACGCUGAGCUGCAUCCAACCCAUGCUCUAGGACCCCCAUGACAGGGCUGGGAUCCAGCGGAUCCGGCAAUAUGUUGAGUCCGGCCGUCUGGCGGAGCUGAGGCAGCGCCCCAACAUCCAGCCCAAUCUGCAGCUUGAGCGGCAUGCUGCAGGCCAGGGACUACAGCCAGCGACCUCCACUUCCAGGCCUUCCUGAUCGAUGGUCUGGUUAGAUGGAACGCGGAUCGUCACCUGGCGGCGAUCGGACAGGACAGCGCCCGCGAGGUCCGGUGCUACGGACGAGUACAGGGUGCUACGACGGCCGGAUACGGGCAGCCGUCAUCGACCUGUCGCAGAGGGUGCUCAAGAGGGACCUAGUCACCAGAAGCGAGCCUCUUCGAUACACGGGUGAGCUCGUCGGGGUCGCCUACCUGUACGGACAGGGCCGUAGGCUCGACGAGUACAGGGUGGGUGACCCCGACACGCAGCACGGCGAGGAUGACGAUGUUGGCGAUGACCUCGACGAGGGAUUCGAGGACGUCGAGGACAUCUUCGUGACCGACGCGUACGAUGGUCUCGAAAUGCCACUUCAGACGCCUCUCCCGGCCGCUCCCGUCGGAGUCCCCAGCCUCGCCGCCGCCGGACCUCAGGGACCCGCUACCGCCCGAGUCCCCAGCUCCGCCGACGCUGGGCCUCAGAGUCCCGCCGACGCUGGGCCUCAGAAUCCCGCCGCCGGACCUCAGAGUCCCGCCGCCGCUGCAGCUCCGGGCUCCGCCGCCGCUGCAGCCGCAGCCGCCGUCGCUGGAGCUCCGGGCCCGGCCGCCGCUGCAGCUCCGGGGCCCGCUGCUGCUGCAGCCGCCGCAGCUGCACCUUCAGGACCGGGCUCCGCUACCGCUGCCGCUGCAGCCCCGCGGCCUGCUGCCGCUGCAGCUCCGGGGCCCGCUGCCGCUGCGGCUCGGGGGCCCGCUGCUGCUGCAGCCGCCACAGCUGCUGCUCCGGGGCCCGCUGCAGCCGCAGCCGCCGCAGCUGCAGCCUCGUGGCCCGCCGCCGCUAGAGCUCACAACCUCUCACGGCAUGGUAACCAGCCUCCACCGGCUCCUCCUGCCGUCGACGCUGCCAGCUGGUCACCAGCUGACGCACAGCCGGACCUGGAGGGACGCAGCUCACCCGGCCCUGGUGCAGUAGUGGCCGCCGCUCAGUCGCCCGCCAUCCCACUGACGCCAGACUGGGCAGCCGAGGGUCUUCCGGAGCACGGCGUUUAGCUGCUGUCGGCUCCUCCGACUACCGCCGGAGCCCCUGGCCCGGUCCCUGCCGGCGUCCCGGGCACAGCCACCGCGCCACCCACCGUCGCUGGCUCCGCCACCACCUCAAGUUUCGGGAACCGCGACCCGGCUCGCCAGGACGUGACCGGCCCCGACCACCAGCCGGGGUACGCCGAGUGCCACCGCCUGGCGCAGGUGCUCGUCGGCCUAGACUGCUCGCGGGGGUAUGUCGCCGACGAAGAGGCCGAGUCCAUCGUCCACCUGUGGCACCAGCUAUCCGCCGGCGACAGAGCCAAGGUGGCGGCCUCCCCGCGGUACCAGCACCGGCUGACGACUGGCCGGUUUAAACAGCCGAAGACCAGUCGGCUGUCUGGUGUCGUGCCGGGCGUGCACAGCGCACGGAGAGUCUCACUCAAGCGAGGAGCGGUUCCCGCGCAACGACCCGACUUGAACCGGCUCGCUGAGACGGUCGUCCGCCUGCUCUGCGAGCGGUACCGAAACCCCAGGCGCAGCGGAGGGUCGGUCCAGUCGCGCUGGGCGCAGAUCCUGGCCCACCACUCCAGCCUGCGGGACAUUCUCCUCAAAUGUCCCGCAAUCACCCAGCGGACUGGAGUCAACCUGGCGGCUCUGAACCAGCACACGCUCACGUCCUGGUUCAACGAGCACCAGAAGGAGACGGAGCGGAGAGCUCUUCUCCAGGGCGUGCAGCUGCCGCCAGCCCGUCCGAUCGCCGCAGUCGCCCUGCCAGCACCGGCGCCGCGGCUGAUGCAGGUGCAGGUGGUGCGGGUGGACUGUCGCCGCCCACCGCACCACUUCGUCCUGCCUGCCGACACGGUCGGACAGGCGCAGACCCGCCGUCGCCCGGCCGAGGACACCGGCCACGACACCGCCGCCAAGAGGCCCUACACGCGCCGGCAGCCCACCAACACCUGCGGCCAGUGCAAAGGCGCUCUGACGGCGGACACGGGGCACAGACGGGGGAAGGGCGGCCCAAGCCGAAACAAGGUUUUCUGUCCCGUUGCCAACCCUGAUCUAACAUACGAUCAGUGGUUGGCAAAGUUCAAGUGAGGAGUAUGUCUUGUACCUAUGUAUGUAUGUCUUGUCUAUGUUUUGUGUCCUGUAUGCCUGGCAAGUCCAACGCCAGACACCGGCGGAACUGCUUCAGGGCCGCUCUCUCCGGCCGCAGCUCAGGCGCUGCGGCCCCCCCCCCCCCAUGAUCGCCGCUGGCGCCACCUUUCGGCGCCCCGCCGCCGUCGAUGGGGAGAAAAAUAAACCAGAUCUGACUUCGGAUGCCGUCAUGGUGUUUGUGUGGCGUAGAACAACGACGAUAAUAGCGAGUUAAAACCGCCUGACACUGUUUCAGGGUUUGGCGUUUUUGUUCGUGAAUGUUUGCUUGUUCCUUUGAUACUUAGGUUUACGAUUCCCUUCCUUCGUUUGUUUGUUUGGUCGUUAAACAUUAAAUAUACCAGUGUAUAAUGCAGGCGU